AGUGCCCUCCCUUUUCGGCCGCGGCGCGUGACUGGGCUUGGUGGAGUUUCAAGAUGCUGAUGAACUUAAGGUCUGGCGCUUGAAAGAAUCAGUGAAGCUUUUCAAGUAGAGGAGUGGUGUUUCCAGUGAAAUCUAUGGCAAGAUGGUUUGGGGUCACUAUCUACAUGAACUGCCAAGUUGGAAAAUCAAAAAUACAUCAAAAUCACUCUUGGGACAUAAGUCACGGAAGUGACUCAUGCACACAAUAAAUACCCAAGAAGCAGGACCAGACGGCAGUUGUGUAUUGGCACGCUCAUCAGUGCUGCAAAAAUUCCCCUUCUGGAUGGCAACAACAAUGCUGUAUCCACAGCAGCAUUUUAAAUCUCACCUCUGAUUACUCUACUUUGAAGAAAGGAAUGGAACAGAAGGUGUCUGCAUAACUAAAUGGGGAUCUAGAGAAAGUGGAGACUGCCUCUGGAGCAGGGAGGUGAGUGGACCAGAUCACUGUGGGCCUGGGCCUACUCAGCUGAUUUUCAAGCUAAAACCAGGGGUAACUUUUCCUCUUGAGACGAAAGCCAUGCUCACAUUCUGUGAACAGCCAGAGAUGUGUUCGAAAGGCUUACUUUUAUUUUGUACUAGAAAAGAUUGUCUUUCCAAAAUUUACCUCGUAUUCAUAAACUGGAAAGUUCUGAUGGCAAUAUUUUGUUACAAAAUUGUCAUUAAUCACAAUCCAGGAUUAUGCCACCAUGACUAGAAGGCCCCCUAAUGGAGUUUAUCUGCACUGCAAGGGGCCAGUUGUCUCAGAAUCAUCCUCCGUUGACAUCUCCAUCUCCAGGACAGCUCCACACUAAUCUGUUUCAAAGACAAAAUCCAGUCUAAUCAGUUUGAUGUAUGUUUCUGGGAAUAGAGCCGAAUGUUGUAGCUGAUGGAAUGGAGUCUCAUACCAUUGAUUUUGCAGCUGGACAAGUGCCCUGCCAUGUUACUGCCACUCUUUAAGGCAGAAUAGAGCACAUUGUAUCAUUUAUAGGCCUCUCACAGUGAGAAAUAUGUGGAACUUUGGAAAUCAGAAUCUAAAACUGCAGUCCAAUGGGGUAGCCACUAUUCACAUGUGCUAUUGAGUACCUAAAAUGUGGCUAGACCAAGUUGACAUGUGCUGAAGGGUGAAAAACACCAGGAGUGAAGAAUUAACUUGAAAAAAAUGUAAACUAUCUCAAUUUUAUAUUGAUUACAAAUUAAAUGAUGUUUUGAAUAUAUUGAGUUAAAUGAAAUACAUUUUUUAAUGAUACAUGAUGCGUAUUAUAUUUCUGUUGGACAGUACUGGUCUAAAACAGUUGAUUCACUAUCCAGUAGAGAGAAAGGUAUUGCUGUUUUACCAUAUGUGACCUUCAGGGAAAAGAAGAAUAAAAUUAGCACUUGAAAAUGGAAAAAC
ensembl:lncRNA SNHG26 small nucleolar RNA host gene 26